AGUGAACGCUGGCGGUAGGCCUAACACAUGCAAGUCGAACGGCAGCACAGUAAGAGCUUGCUCUUACGGGUGGCGAGUGGCGGACGGGUGAGGAAUACAUCGGAAUCUACUUUUUCGUGGGGGAUAACGUAGGGAAACUUACGCUAAUACCGCAUACGACCUACGGGUGAAAGCAGGGGAUCUUCGGACCUUGCGCGAUUGAAUGAGCCGAUGUCGGAUUAGCUAGUUGGCGGGGUAAAGGCCCACCAAGGCGACGAUCCGUAGCUGGUCUGAGAGGAUGAUCCGCCACACUGGAGCUGAGCCACGGUCCAGACUCCUACGGGAGGCAGCAGUGGGGAAUAUUGGACAAAGGGCGCAAGCCUGAUCCAGCCAUACCGCGUGGGUGAAGAAGGCCUUCGGGUUGUAAAGCCCUUUUGUUGGUAAAGAAAAGCAGCAGGUUAAUACCCCGCUGUUCUGACGGUACCCAAAGAAUAAGCACCGGCUAACUUCGUG
rnacentral:rRNA from 1 species